rnacentral:rRNA from 1 species
CUGGGUAUAAUACCCGAUAGUUCUCGGAUGCUUGCAUCGAGUUUGAAAGCUCCGGCGCCUGAGGAUGGGUCUGCGGCCUAUCAGGUAGUAGUGGGUGUAAUGUACCUACUAGCCUACGACGGGUACGGGUUGUGAGAGCAAGAGCCCGAAGAUGGAUUCUGAGACACGAAUCCAGGCCCUACGGGGUGCAGCAGGCGCGAAAACUUUACAAUGCUGGCAAACCUCGAGUGCCGGGAUACAAUCUUGGCUGUCGUAAUGCCUAAAGAGCAUUGCAUAGCAAGGGCCGGGCAAGACCGGUGCCAGCCGCCGCGGUAACACCGGCGGCUCGAGUGGUAACCGCUAUUAUUGGGUCUAAAGGGUCUGUAGCCGGCCGGAUAAGUCUUUUGGGAAAUCUGGCAGCUCAACUGUUGGGCUUUCAGAAGAUACUGUUCGGCUCGAGACCGGGAGAGGUGAGAGGUACUUCAGGGGUAGGGGUGAAAUCUUGUAAUCCUUGAAGGACCACCAGUGGCGAAGGCGUCUCACCAGAACGGAUCUGACGGCAAGGGACGAAAGCUAGGGGCACGAACCGGAUUAGAUACCCGGGUAGUCCUAGCCGUAAACGAUACUCGCUAGGUGUCAGCCACGGUGCGACCGUGGUUGGUGCCGUAGGGAAGCCGUGAAGCGAGCCACCUGGGAAGUACGGCCGCAAGGCUGAAACUUAAAGGAAUUGGCGGGGGAGCACA